AGGUUAAGUUAACAAGGGCGCAUGGUGAAUGCCUUGGCACUAGGAGCCGAUGAAGGACGGGACUAACACCGAUAUGCUUCGGGGAGCUGUACGUAAGCUAUGAUCCGGAGAUUUCCGAAUGGGGCAACCCAGCAGUUUUAAUCAACUGUUACCACUAGAUGAAUUCAUAGUCUAGUUGGGGGUAAACGCUGUGAACUGAAACAUCUCAUUAGCAGCAGGAAUAUAAAGAAAUUUCGAUUCCCUAAGUAGCGGCGAGCGAACGGGGAACAGCCCAAACCAAAGUGCUUGCACUUUGGGGUUGUAGGACUGAACAUUUGAGUUACCAAAGAACUUGAUAGUCGAAGGAUUUGGGAAAAUCCGCCAUAGAUGGUGAUAGCCCAGUAGAUUAAAUCAAAUUCUCUCAGUUCAGGAUCCUGAGUACGGCGGAACACGUGAAAUUCCGUCGGAAUCCGGGAGGACCAUCUCCCAAGGCUAAAUACUACCUAGUGACCGAUAGUGAACCAGUACCGUGAGGGAAAGGUGAAAAGCACCCCGGGAGGGGAGUGAAAUAGUUCCUGAAACCAUGUGCCUACAAUAAGUCAGAGCGCGUUAAUGCGUGAUGGCGUGCCUUUUGUAGAAUGAACCGGCGAGUUAUGAUCCCGUGCAAGGUUAAGACUAAAAAGUCGGAGCCGUAGCGAAAGCGAGUCUGAAAUGGGCGUUUUGAGUACGAGGUUAUAGACCCGAAACCAGGUGACCUAUCCAUGUCCAGGUUGAAGGUGCGGUAAAACGCACUGGAGGACCGAACCCGUGUAAGUUGAAAAUUGCUGGGAUGAGGUGUGGAUAGCGGUGAAAUUCCAAACGAACUUGGAGAUAGCUGGUUCUCUCCGAAAUAGCUUUAGGGCUAGCCUCGGAAUUAGGAUCAUGGAGGUAGAGCACUAUUUGGACUAGGGGCCCGUCUUGGGUUACUGAAUUCAGAUAAACUCCGAAUGCCAUUGAUUCAUAUCCGGGAGUCAGACGAUGAGUGAUAAGAUCCACCGUCGAAAGGGGAACAGCCCAGACCAUCAGUUAAGGUCCCUAAAUGUAUGCUAAGUGGAAAAGGAUGUGGAGUUGCAUAGACAACUAGGAUGUUGGCUCAGAAGCAGCCACCAUUUAAAGAGUGCGUAAUAGCUCACUAGUCGAGUGAUCCUGCGCCGAAAAUGUACCGGGGCUAAGCAUACUACCGAAACCAUGGAUGCGACCAUUAGGUCGCGUGAUAGGAGAGCGUUCUAAGGGCGGUGAAGCAAGAUCGUGAGGACUUGUGGAGCGCUUAGAAGUGAGAAUGCCGGUAUGAGUAGCGAAAGAUAGGUGAGAAUCCUAUCCACCGAAUGACUAAGGUUUCCUGGGGAAGGCUCGUCCUCCCAGGGUUAGUCGGGACCUAAGUCGAGGCCGAGAGGCGUAGACGAUGGAUAACAGGUUGAGAUUCCUGUACUAGUUAAGUGCGUUUGAGCAAUGGAGGGACGCAGGAGGCUAAGAUGUGCAUUCUGUUGGAUUAGAAUGUCCAAGCAGUAAGUCUUGUGAAGAGUCAAAUGCUUUUCACUUUAAGGACAAGCUGUGAUGGGGAGCGAAAUUUAGUAGCGAAGCGUCUGAUGUCACACUGCCGAGAAAAGCUUCUAGUGAGUACUUAACUACCCGUACCGCAAACCGACACAGGUAGUCGAGGAGAGAAUCCUAAGGUGAGCGAGUGAACUCUCGUUAAGGAACUCGGCAAAAUGACCCCGUAACUUCGGGAGAAGGGGUGCUGAUCGCAAGAUCAGCCGCAGUGAAUAGGCCCAGGCGACUGUUUAUCAAAAACACAGGUCUCUGCAAAAUCGUAAGAUGACGUAUAGGGGCUGACGCCUGCCCGGUGCUGGAAGGUUAAAAGGAUGGGUUAGCUUCGGCGAAGCUCAGAAUUGAAGCCCCAGUAAACGGCGGCCGUAACUAUAACGGUCCUAAGGUAGCGAAAUUCCUUGUCGGGUAAGUUCCGACCCGCACGAAAGGCGUAACGAUCUGGGCACUGUCUCAACGAGAGACUCGGUGAAAUUAUAUUGUCCGUGAAGAUGCGGACUACCCGCGACAGGACGGAAAGACCCCAUGGAGCUUUACUGUAGCUUGAUAUUGAGUGUUUGUACAGCUUGUACAGGAUAGGUAGGAGCCAUAGAAACCGGAACGCUAGUUUCGGUGGAGGCGUUGGUGGGAUACUACCCUCGCUGUAUGACCACUCUAACCCGCACCACUAAUCGUGGUGGGAGACAGUGUCAGGUGGGCAGUUUGACUGGGGCGGUCGCCUCCUAAAAAGUAACGGAGGCGCCCAAAGGUUCCCUCAGAAUGGUUGGAAAUCAUUCGCAGAGUGUAAAGGCACAAGGGAGCUUGACUGCGAGACAGACAGGUCGAGCAGGGACGAAAGUCGGGCUUAGUGAUCCGGUGGUACCGUAUGGAAGGGCCAUCGCUCAACGGAUAAAAGCUACCCUGGGGAUAACAGGCUUAUCUCCCCCAAGAGUCCACAUCGACGGGGAGGUUUGGCACCUCGAUGUCGGCUCAUCGCAUCCUGGGGCUGUAGUCGGUCCCAAGGGUUGGGCUGUUCGCCCAUUAAAGCGGUACGCGAGCUGGGUUCAGAACGUCGUGAGACAGUUCGGUCCCUAUCCGUCGCGGGCGUAGGAAAUUUGAGAGGACCUGUCCUUAGUACGAGAGGACCGGGAUGGACAUACCUCUGGUGUACCAGUUGUGCCGCCAGGCGCAUCGCUGGGUAGCUACGUAUGGAUGUGAUAAACGCUGAAAGCAUCUAAGUGUGAAACACACCUCGAGAUGAGAUUUCCCAUUCCUUUAUGGAAGUAAGACCCCUGAAAGAUGAUCAGGUAGAUAGGUUAGAAGUGGCAGUGCGGUGACGCAUGAAGCGGACUAAUACUAAUCGGUCGAGGACUUAACCAAG
rnacentral:rRNA from 1 species